rnacentral:tRNA from 1 species
UGGUCCUGUGGAGCAGUUUGGAGUGCUCGCCACCCUGUCAAGGUGGAGGCCGCGGGUUCAAAUCCCGUCAGGACCGCAGU